rnacentral:rRNA from 1 species
GAUGAACGCUGGCGGCGUGCCUAAUACAUGCAAGUCGAGCGAACGGACGAAGAUCUUGCUUCUCUGAUGUUAGCGGCGGACGGGUGAGUAACACGUGGAUAACCUACCUAUAAGACUGGGAUAACUUCGGGAAACCGGAGCUAAUACCGGAUAAUAUUUUGAACCGCAUGGUUCAAAAGUGAAAGACGGUCUUGCUGUCCCUGAUAGAUGUAUCCACGUUGCAUUAGCUAGUUGGUACGGUAACGGCCUACCAAGGCGACGAUGCAUAGCCGACCUGAGAGGAUGAUCAGUCACACUGGAACUGAGACACGGUCCAGACUCCUACGGGAGGCAGCAGUAGGGAAUCUUCCGCAAUGGGCGAAAGCCUGACGGAGCAACGCCGCGUGAGUGAUGAAGGUCUUCGGAUCGUAAAGCUCUGUUAGUAGGGAAGAACAUAUGUGUGAGUAACUGUGCACAUCUUGACGGUACCUAAACAGAAAGCAACGGCUAACUUCGUG